rnacentral:lncRNA from 1 species
CCCCGAGCUUCUUACUACACCACCGCACCUCCGUUCAUCGUCGACAUGUCGCUCCACCGAGCCCCCCUCGAGCCCAUGUUGCACACCUCCAGGGCUCGGUGAGCUACCCCGUUUCCUUCUUUCCCCGCCACGAUUCCAUUCCGGCAACUAUCGCCGCGUUCCGACGGCGUUAGGUUCCUGUAGGAGGAGGUGGAGUUUCCCUCCUCUCUUUGUGUUGAGAGGCUACUGUGAGACAUGUCCACGAGGUUGGAGUUGAGAGAGAUGUUUGGAAG